ACGCUUCUUUUUCCACCGGAGCUUGCUCCACCGGAAAAAGAAGAGUGGCGAACGGGUGAGUAACACGUGGGUAACCUGCCCAUCAGAAGGGGAUAACACUUGGAAACAGGUGCUAAUACCGUAUAACAAUCGAAACCGCAUGGUUUUGAUUUGAAAGGCGCUUUCGGGUGUCGCUGAUGGAUGGACCCGCGGUGCAUUAGCUAGUUGGUGAGGUAACGGCUCACCAAGGCCACGAUGCAUAGCCGACCUGAGAGGGUGAUCGGCCACAUUGGGACUGAGACACGGCCCAAACUCCUACGGGAGGCAGCAGUAGGGAAUCUUCGGCAAUGGACGAAAGUCUGACCGAGCAACGCCGCGUGAGUGAAGAAGGUUUUCGGAUCGUAAAACUCUGUUGUUAGAGAAGAACAAGGAUGAGAGUAACUGUUCAUCCCUUGACGGUAUCUAACCAGAAAGCCACGGCUAACUAC
rnacentral:rRNA from 1 species